rnacentral:misc_RNA from 1 species
CCGAGUUUACAACUCCCAAACCCCUGUGAACAUACCACUAUACGUUGCCUCGGCGGAUCAGCCCGCGCCCCGUAAAACGGGACGGCCCGCCAGAGGACCCCUAAACUCUGUUUCUUAGUGGAACUUCUGAGUAAAACCAUAAAUAAAUCA